UGGGGAAUAUUGGACAAUGGGCGGAAGCCUGAUCCAGCAACGCCGCGUGAGGGAUGACGGCCUUCGGGUUGUAAACCUCUUUCAGCACAGACGAAGCGCAAGUGACGGUAUGUGCAGAAGAAGGACCGGCCAACUACGUGCCAGCAGCCGCGGUAAUACGUAGGGUCCGAGCGUUGUCCGGAAUUAUUGGGCGUAAAGGGCUCGUAGGCGGUUUGUCGCGUCGGGAGUGAAAAACACCGGGCUUAACUCGGUGCUUGCUUUCGAUACGGGCAGACUAGAGGCAUUCAGGGGAGAACGGAAUUCCUGGUGUAGCGGUGAAAUGCGCAGAUAUCAGGAGGAACACCGGUGGCGAAAGGCGGUUCUCUGGGAAUGUCCUGACGCUGAGGAGCGAAAAGUGUGGGGAGCGAAACAGGAUUAGAUACCCUGGUAGUCCACACCGUAAAACGUUGGGCGCUAGGUGUGGGAUCCAUUCCACGGGUUCCGUGCCGCAGCUAACGCAUUAAGCGCCCCGCCUGGGGAGUACGGCCGCAAGGCUAAAAACUC
rnacentral:rRNA from 1 species